rnacentral:lncRNA from 1 species
AUGCAGGAAACACCCUCACUGCAGAUUCAGCGUGUCUUCUCUGGAGCUUCGGCUCGACGAGGAAGGAGGCUUUGCUCGCCUGAGGUCCUUGGUGGGUGCUUGUCCUCCUUCAGUUCAUUUGCUCAUGUGACAACUGUUUCCGUGUCUGUCGCGUGUUCUGGGACUAAAGGAAAAGUUGGUUCUGCGCCUUCUGGGUCUGUUAGACGAGCAUGGCAGACUCCGGGAUCACUAAUACACACGUGUCACCACCAGCUCAUCAGAAAGGGCCAUGGGCAGGAUGCGAACACCUUCCUGCAGCUUCAGAAGAUGAGUCGUUUUGAAGAUGCAGUGACGAGACGUUCCCUGGCGGGUGAUGCACGACAGAACCCUUCCUCGUUGACCGGGUCGCUGUGAAUGGUGGGACACCUGCCCCCUGCAGUGCUCACCUGCCACCCUGGGACGUGGGGGUGUGGUGUUUCAUACCUGAGUGAGGUGUGAUCGUAUUUUAAUCCGUUCUCUGUAAGGUGAAGAUAGCUGCAUAUGCAAAUAGUUAAAAGCAAAUGUCUGUGUCCAUGCUAAACAGUGAUUUCUAAGGAAAAUGAUGAAGUUCUAAAUGAACAAAAAUUAGGGAGCGAUAUCUGAUUGGAAUUCUGUGAGAGCUUUGGGAGCUUCUCAUCCCUAAAGGGUAGAGUUUGUGUGUGUGUGUGGUUUCGUCCAUAGGCACUUGGAAGCACAGACCAUAACUGUGUUUGCACGUAUUUGUAGAAAUCCAUGAGAAAGGAUGGUUAACAUCAGGUUGGCCUCAAGAUAAUUUUCCUCUAAAAGUAUUUAUAUAUUGCAAUAGGUAGUUGAUAGAUUAUUGAGGUUUCAAGUUCUUUUAUUAUAAAUCCUGCUCCACCUUUGCAUUAUAGCAUCCAGUCUUCUCUAAGAUUAUAUGUUGUUUAGUCGCUCAGUUGCGUCCAGCUCUUUUGCAACCCUUUGGACUGUAGCCCACCAGGCUCCUCUGUCCAAGGGGUUUCCAGGCAAGAA